CAGCCGCCGCGGGAAUACGGAGGGGGCUAGCGUUGUUCGGAAUUACUGGGCGUAAAGCGUACGUAGGCGGCUUUGUAAGUUAGAGGUGAAAGCCUGGUGCUCAACACCAGAACUGCCUUUAAGACUGCAUCGCUUGAACGUCGGAGAGGUGAGUGGAAUUCCGAGUGUAGAGGUGAAAUUCGUAGAUAUUUGGAAGAACACCAGUGGCGAAGGCGGCUCACUGGACGACUGUUGACGCUGAGGUACGAAAGCGUGGGGAGCAAACAGGAUUAGAGACCCCCGUAGUCCCUGUCUCUUAUAC
rnacentral:rRNA from 1 species